CCAGACUUGUCGAGAUUUGUUUUUCCUCAUCUGGGCUCAUUUACAUAUCUAGCCCAGCUUGAGUCAUAGAAAAAGGCCUUUUUGCCUUGAAGAUUUGGCCAAUAGCCUUGGCCAUUAUAUCACUAUACUCAUGAAAUGCGAUGAUAGAAUAAUUACACUCCUAAUCAACAGUUUCAUUAAUCGUCGUACAUUGAAUCAAAACUAAUUAACCAUAAUGCAUCAGUCGAGCCCAAAGCUCUAAAAAUCAGAAAAUUACAUCAUGGCUUAUUAAUACAUAAACUACUACAUUAAACUAAUCUUUUACAUUAAAAUCUUAUGAGAAAAAAUUCAACAACUGACCCUAUUACAAUGUCUAUGAAGAAACUAACGGCCCAAUGAACGUCCACUCACUUUGGAUAUAACUGAUCCACCAAGCUUGGUUCACCAGUAUAAAGCUAUCAAUUUCAGUACCCUAUCAGCGAACAAAUCCCAAUUACUGGCUUUAAUGUAUGCUGAUUUGGCCAAUUAGUGGCCAAAUCCACAGGUUAUAGCCAUGACUUCAAACAAAAUACUAUACUAAAUCACUUGUGAGCAGAAGAAGAAUUAGUAUCUUUAGUGACCAACAGUUUUAAAUAUCAGUCUUAACAAUGAAAAAUAUUGAACUAAAGAGACGUCUUCACACAAAGUUACUUUUAAAAGGAAAAUUACAAUGUAUUAAAGUUUUUAAACAAACUGAUCAAGCCAUAUUAUUUCCAACUUAAAACUCACAUAAUAGCUAAACUAAUUAGAUACAUAUCAGCACAAUCAAUAGUUAACAUGAGAAUGCAUUCAUUUAUGGUAUGAAUUCUGCUGCUUCAAUUUCAUAUCAUUUUAACAAAAACAUUACAUGAAGAAAAUUUAAAUUCGGUACCUUGAACAAACAACAACAAAACCAGCAAAUAACAUAUGAAAAAAAAGAAACUGGCUGAAGCUUGAAAGAAGUUGAACAACAACAGAAAUCAAACAAUAGUAGCCAAAAUCAAACCAAAACACAAUAGCUACAGCAACUAACAACAGUAUACCCCAAAGAAACCAUAGUUCUUUACUUUCAAUUCAUAUUUUUCAAAUUAUGAAGACCAGAGAUAUCAGGGAGGUUUUUUGAGUGUUUUUUUAACUUCAAAAGGAAUCAGCUCUUUAAGAAAAAAAGCAGUAGCUGAACUUUAGAAAAUAUUUUUUAGGGUUUUUCUAAAUCUGCUCCUCUGUGUAGAAAAAGGUAUCAUAUAUAAGCACCAAAGAUGUCAUGUGUUGAAGGAAAUAUUCCAUCAGCCACAAAGAGCAUAUUCUAAUAGAAUUGGAAAGUUGGUUGUCCCUCAUCCGUUUCAGUACUUUGUACUAACCAAAUGAGGCCAGCUGCCCCUUAUUCUAGAACAUUUUAGCAUGGAUUUUAUCCUAUUUCAGCAUUAUCCCCCCCCCCCCCCCCCUUAUGACCCCUUAGGUUUUCUUUUGUUUAAUCAACCCCAAGAAGUUUCUACUUAUUUACAAAUUUAGGCAAAUAAAGAUAAGGCAGGAAAGGAUCAGAAUGCAAAUCAAAAUGGCCAAAAAAAAUUAAAAAUGAUGCAAUUUAGACUAAGAACCUAAUUAGUAAAUAAAAGUAUUUUAUCUAAAUAAACUAAACAAAACUAGACUUAAACGGCUAAAUCCAUCUACACAGUAACCAAACCAAAAUUAUAAGAAAAAACCACAAAGAAAUCCUAGAAAUUAAACUACUCAAUUUAUGAAUUAACAUGUCGAAAUUUAAUUUCAGAAUAUAGGAGAGGAGCAAUUAAACAAGAAAAAAAUGGAAACAAAGAUAGAAUAAACAAUUCACCAGAACCCUAGUUGAGCUAAACUUAUGCAAAAUUGAAAUGAAGUCUUAACAUGCUUUAAUUAAAAAAAUAACAGUUUAAAAGAAGAAAAACUCUAAAAUCAUGCGGUUAAACAAAAACAAUUAAACACGAAGAGGAAUCAACAACAAAGAAAAAGAAAAAAUAAAGAGAAGGUAGAAGAAGUUACCUAAUGUUCAUUUUUCAAAAUAAAACUGGACCAUCUAACGAACUUUGACCAAAUUUCAACGGAUGAUAUGAAAUUGAACUAAAAUUAAUUGACUGUUCUUAACAAGAACAGUAAUAAGAGUUUGGGGUUCAAACGACCUAAAUAUGACCGGAAACAAGAAAAGGGGAAAACGUUAGGGUACAGAGGAUCUUAUAUUUCAAAUUCGAAGAAAAUGGCGGGGAUUUUUGGGAAAUUGGUUGUAGUUUAGGGUUUAGAGGGGUGUGAAGACUGUGGGGUGUGAUUUUCGGGCCGUUUGGGUGAUUUAGGAUUUUAGGAUUCCGAUCUUAGAUCUAAGAUUCGACACGUUUGAUAUGGAUUUGAAGGAGAUGGUUUGGAGAUUUGGAAAGGGUAAGGAAAGGAGAUUACAGGGUGUUAAUUUGGUGGAGUUUGGGAUGUUGUCGCUACCGUGGGGUGAUUUGCAACGGCGGAAUACGGCGGAGAUGGUGAUGGAAUGAAGGCAGCUAGGGUUUUGCUCUUGGUUUAGGUGAGAGACUGAAAUGAGAAAGAAAAUG
rnacentral:lncRNA from 1 species